CUUCAUCAUCUUCAUCAAACAUCUUCAUCAUCGAACAUCUUCAUCAUCGAACAGAUCAGAAUGGCUGCGGAUGUAAAGAUACGCAAAACACCAACUACGAAGGCGAGAACACUUGACAACCUCCUAGAAGAUGGUGCGGUGCACAUAAGGAAGUGAUUGAUAU